GUCUCCCCUCUCAAAUCACAACACAAACAUAGAGGUCUCUUCUUCUCCACUAUACUUAUCAAUGGCGUCUGUGCGAUUGUCGUUCACGCCACCUUCCUCUCUUCCGGCUACCUUCUCACCGCCACCGGCCCCCAAGCCCUCUUCGAUGACGCCCUCUCACAUCCCUCCACUGAGGAGGUGUCUGUAGAGAACUGAAACCAACUUAACCAAGAAUAUGUCUUUGUUUAUGUCAAUCCAAAAAAGAUUUCGAAUAAAGUGCUGGUAAAGUGCCUCGUCAUGAAUGAGAAGUUACUCAUUGAUGCCUUGAAGGAAGGGUCUUCUGACCCUGCACACCUUGAGAUUUGUGUUAGGGAUUAUACUAUAGCAAAUGAAAACAGCAAUUAUUCUGAGCAGAGCGCUGUGGGGAAGACAAGAACAGAGAAACGAAGAGAAGAGAAGACAGAGCGCUGUGGGCUUUAAAAUUGGGAAUUAGGGUUUUAACUUGAUUUGAGGGACCAAAUUGAUUCCGGACAGUUUACUCUGCCACAUUAGCUAGCC